AAGUGGCUCAAAAAGUUGUCAGGUGGUCUAGUACCGUUUCGCCCUACAACUUAUGAUACGGGAGCUAUCCCUGAUUGUGGUGAGCAGGCCCGCUCCACCUCCUCUAAAAGGGGAGGGCGUGACGGCGGGAAGCCUAAAGCGAUUACCAUGGCGCCCCCUUGUAAAAAGAGGGGUGCGGAACCGGUUCAUGGCUUCGGGCAAUUUUUUGGGCCCAUUU
rnacentral:other from 1 species